rnacentral:rRNA from 1 species
UACGGAGGGUGCAAGCGUUAUCCGGAUUCACUGGGUUUAAAGGGUGCGUAGGUGGCGCGCUAAGUCAGGUGUGAAAUUUCGGAGCUUAACUCCGAAACUGCAUUUGAUACUGGCGUGCUUGAGGACUGGAGAGGAGACUGGAAUUCAUGGUGUAGCAGUGAAAUGCGUAGAGAUCAUGAGGAAGACCAGUGGCGAAGGCGGGUCUCUGGACAGUUCCUGACACUGAGGCACGAAGGCCAGGGGAGCAAACGGG